UAACCCCAGACCCUAUUCCUCUCCUUAACAAUUUUCAGCAAGUCCCAAUUCCCAGCCAUUUUCAUAAAAAUGCAGCCCCACUCCAAUUUCCAUUUAACUCAGGUCCAAUUCCAAUCAACAGCAACCCACCGCUCGAUCCGACCUGGCCUCAUUCUUCAUCUCCUCCAUCGAAUUAGAGGCGAGUACAAUUUAAAAAAGCAAAGUAUACAACAGCAACAUCAGUGUGUCUACAGCCAAUCCAACGAUACCCUCCGUGCGUGGGCUAUACAACACGUCCCAACGUCUCCAUCCCUUUUCUACUCUCUCCAGCUUUACCCGUACAACAUCCAUGCCAGACGCGUUUCGUACUUGACAAGUUAAGAUGACUAUACAUCGCCUGCCUAGUACGAGGAAGCGAUCUCAACCCUCCACAUCGUAUGCUAUCUGUUCAAAAAUCACUCCAAAUCAAAAGAUAUUUGGCUUUCGGGGAUAAGAUUUUUUUUUGAAAUUGAAAUUGGCCCUGGGUAUAAAUCCGAACUCGAUCUAUCUUUUCCUCAGUGGAGAACCCUAGUUGUGCUUAUAUAAUGUAUGGUUUUUUUCUAUAGAGGGGGGGGGGAUUUUUUCUUUCGGUUUACUUCAGAAAGAUUACUGAGAAUUAGUGAACAUUCAUAUAUAUAUAUAUAUACACACACACUCUCCAACAGGAAGUUCUUGAAUCGUUGUCGUUCAUUCCUAGCUCCUCUUUGAUUUGCCUUAAGUCGUUCAAGGUCUUAGAAUCAUAUUCGGUGGUGGUGAAGUUUCUCUCGCUCGCCUCGUGUCAGGUCGUUGUCUGGAAAAGGAAAGGCAAAAAAUCACUUCUAUGGACAAGGGUAAGAACAUCCAAAUGGAACUCACUGGAGAAGAACUACAAAUAAAUAUCGAACAGAUCACUCGGGAAAUUCAAGAAGCCAAACAGGAAGGGCUCAGAGUUGACAUGGCCACCGCAAUCUAACAAGCUGCAACCCUGACGCUGGAUGAGGAUCUAGCAUCACAGAUGAAGAGAAAUAUAGAUUUUGAGAUGGAUACAGAGGACUUGCGAGAGAAGUUAGACAUGCUUUGGUUGAAAGUGCAAGAAAGAGAAGCGAGGAUAGAAUCGGAGAUUGCCGCUCUGUUAGCUAAAAGCAUGUCAUCAAAGAGAAGCGAGGAUAGAAUCGGAGACUACCGCUCUGUUAGCUAAAAGAAUGUCACUUGAUGAAGAACUGACAAUGUAAAUGGAAGAAUUCACCUUUAUGAAAGAAAGGUUGGACGCACUGAGGAAGAAGAACAAAUCCUUCUAUAACAGUAUGAUUGAUAAACUUCAGAAAAAAUGCGUAAAAAAUAUCCCGUCUACGAGCAAAGAGCUAAUAAUGUUGCCGAUAACGCUCACCCUAAAGCGAUUGGGGAAGACGAUGACAAGGAAAUCAUGUACAAACCUCCAUUCCUAGGCCGUCUAAAAAGAGGAGACUAACGCUGCAACAGAAGGGAAAUGACUAACGUAUUUAUAUUUUAAAAGCUCUAUUGUUGCCUUUCAAUUUCCUUGUAAUAGUAAUGAAUGAAUGAAUGAAAAUUUUUAUCUUGUACUCAAA